rnacentral:rRNA from 1 species
GUCUUUGGCCAUGCCACUCUGAACAAGCCUGAUGUCUGAUCUUGGAAGCUAAGCAGAAUUGGGCCUGGUUAGUACUUGGAUGGGAGACCACCUAGGAAGACCAGGUGCUGUAGGCA